rnacentral:rRNA from 1 species
UACAGAGGUCCCAAGCGUUGUUCGGAUUCAUUGGGCGUAAAGGGUGCGUAGGCGGCGCGGUAAGUCGGGUGUGAAAUCUCGGAGCUUAACUCCGAAACUGCAUUCGAUACUGCCGUGCUUGAGGACUGGAGAGGAGACUGGAAUUACGGUGUAGCAGUGAAAUGCGUAGAUAUCGUAAGGAAGACCAGUGGCGAAGGCGAGUCUCUGGACAGCAACUGACGCUGAGCACGAAGGCCAGGGGAGCAAACGGG